UUCUUCCCUCGGCCGCCCCCGCGCGGCGGCGCUGCCGCCUCUGUCCGGACGAGACGAGGCAAGAUGGCGGCGGGCCUGGCGGGGAGGAGCCGCAGGAGAGGCAGCGUGUGUCUCACUGGCGGUGCUGAAGUAACACCGAGACACCCGAGGGCAAAGGGAUGAGAGUGGGUAGAACCUUGCCACGCUGCGGGGCCGCACCGAGACCAAUGGAUCCGGGCCACAGAGACCCUGAGCCAGGCAGCAUCAAGGGAGAAUGGGAUUUGUCACACCAACACUAAACUGACACUAAGCUUCAACCCUUUAUAUGGAACCGUUUGUUGAAAGAGGAAGCUGCAGUACUGAAAGCAGUUAGUGCUUGACUGCAUGAAGCCAUGCCCCUCUCAGAAGACGAAUGAUGUCUGUCUUCAAAAACUUUAUGAAAUGCAAACUCAGUUAAAUCCUUUCAAGGUUCUUCUUUGGAAGUUUGACUUUCGAUGAAGAAUGGUGUUAAACACAUAACUGAAACUUCCUGCUGCUGAGGAGAAUCACUUUCAAGUACUUAAAUUUGAAUAUCCCUCUAAAUUCCAUUUAUUUAUUAAAAAUGUGUUUUUAUAAAAGCAUGAAGACUGCAGAAGA